GUUUGUAUUGAAUCUAAUCAUCUAUUUUUAAACAGUUCAAUGACUAUAUAAUCUCAUAUUUUAUUAAUUUUACAAAAUGAAUCUUUACUAAGUGAUUUAUAACAUUAACAAUUUUGAGAACAAGUAUAAAAUUCUGUAAAUCGAUGACAAAGUAUUUUGAUGAUGAACUUCUCCUUGUCCUGUGAGGAUCCAAGUUAAUUCCAAAGACAAAUGCCUAAUUAUAUGGAAAAGGCAAAUGUGCACGUACCGGUUCCUGUGGCUUGGGAUGCUUCAGCUGGCUUCAACUUUUCUGCCAAAAUAUCCCAGGCAAUUUUGGCUCUGCGGGUGCCCCUAAUAAAAGAAAAAGUAUCGGCCCCACAAGAAACCUGGAUCGAGUGCAAAGCCUCGGCAUUACUCUUCCUCCAAGCUUGAAAUUCAACUUCACCAUCUUCUCGUUUAGGAGGCUCAGUGGUGGCUUCCACAACUUCCCAAAGACCCUUUGCCAACAGGCCAGAUGGUGAAGAGAUUGAGGAACUGAGCGAAAGUGUAGGCGAGGAACGCAUUGAGGAAUGCGAGGUUCGAUGGGAUCAACGGCAAAGACGACGUCGUCGCAUCCGCAGCCGUCAUCACCUCGUCCACUCUCUCUCACGAGCAAGACUGUGGAAACUAGAAAAGAGGGAAAGAGGAGGAGCAAGAGUCAACUAGGCCCCACAGCCGAGUUCAAUCAGCAGAAAGUGGCUGCUGGAUUUUUUUUUCUCUCUUUUUAUAACUUUUUAUUAUUAUUAUGAAUGCGGUGGAUUUGGUAAGAAGCAAGAAAUAUAGAAUUUUGGAAUUUUGAUUCA